rnacentral:rRNA from 1 species
UACGUAGGGGGCUAGCGUUGUCCGGAAUCAUUGGGCGUAAAGCGCGUGUAGGCGGUCCGGUAAGUCCGCUGUGAAAGUCGGGGGCUCAACCCUCGGAUGCCGGUGGAUACUGUCGGGCUUGAGUACGGAAGAGGCGAGUGGAAUUCCUGGUGUAGCGGUGAAAUGCGCAGAUAUCAGGAGGAACACCAAUUGCGAAGGCAGCUCGCUGGGACGUUACUGACGCUGAGACGCGAAAGCGUGGGGAGAAAACAGG